GGACCAAGGAGUCUAGCAUGUGCGCGAGUCAUUGGGACACGACUAAACCUAAAGGCGCAAUGAAAGUGAAAGUCCGCCUCGCGCGGACUUAGGGAGGAUGGGCGGUCGUUACGGCUACCGCCCCGCACUCCCGGGGCGUCUCGUUCUCAUUGCGAGAAGAGGCGCACCAAGAGCGUACACGCUGGGACCCGAAAGAUGGUGAACUAUGCCUGGUCAGGACGAAGUCAGGGGAAACCCUGAUGGAGGUCCGUAGCGAUUCUGACGUGCAAAUCGAUCGUCGGAACUGGGUAUAGGGGCGAAAGACUAAUCGAACCAUCUAGUAGCUGGUUCCCUCCGAAGUUUCCCUCAGGAUAGCUGGCGCUCGUUGCGUACGAGUUUCAUCCGGUAAAGCGAAUGAUUAGAGGCAUUGGGGUCGAAACGGCCUCAACCUAUUCUCAAACUUUAAAUGGGUGAGAUCUCCGGCUUGCUCGAACUCAUUUUUAAAAUGAAGCCGCGAGACUCGAAUCAGAGUGCCAAGUGGGCCAUUUUUGGUAAGCAGAACUGGCGCUGUGGGAUGAACCAAACGCCGAGUUAAAGCGCCUAAAUCGACGCUUAUGGGAUACCAUGAAAGGCGUUGGUAACUUAAGACAUCAGGACGGUGGCCAUGGAAGUCGGA
rnacentral:rRNA from 1 species